GUGGAGGGGGGUGCAUGGGGGAGCAGGUGGGGGAGGAGAGAGGGAGGUGCAUGGAAGGGCAGGUGUGGGGGUGCAGGGGGUGCAUGGAGGGGCAGAUAUGGGGUGGAACGAGGGGUGGGUGCAUGGAGGGGCAGGCACGCAGGUGGAGGGAGGGGGAUGGAUCAACGGUUGGCUGGGGGGGUGGCUGGUUAGAUCAAUUGUUGGACGGGUGGAGACGGGGAUGGGUGGGUGGAUGGAUGGUAGGACGGACGGGGAUGGGUGGGUGGAUGGAUGGUAGGAUGGACGGGGACAGGGAUGGGUGCGUGGAUGGAUGGAUGGUUGGAUGGGUAGAGACGGGGAUGGAUCGAUGGUUGGAUGAGUUGGGUGGGUGUGUGGAUCGAUGGUGGGGAUGGGUGGGGAAGGAGAUAGGUGGGAGGAUGGAUGGCUGGAUGGUGGGGGAAAGGGGUUCAGUUGGGGGACGGAUGGUUGGACAGGAAGAGAAGGGGAUGGAUCAUGGUGGGAUGGGUGGGGACGGGGGUGGGUGAGUGGAUCAAUGGUUGGACGUGAGGGGACAGGGAUGGGUUGGUGGAUCCAUGUUUGAAUGGGGAUGAGGGUGGAUCAAUGGUUGGACGGGUGGGGAUGGGGGUGGGUUGGUGGAUUGAUGGUUGGACGGACGGGGAUGGGAGUGGGUUGGUGGGUCGAUGGUUGGACAGGUGGGGAUGGGGGUGGGUUGGUGGGUCGAUGGUUGGACGGACGGGGAUGGUGGUGGGUGGGUGGAUCGAUGGUUGGACGGACGGGGAUGGGGGUGGGUUGGUGGAUCGAUGGUUGGACGGACGGGGAUGGGGGUGGGUUGGUGUGUCGA